AUCCAUUUCAGUAUGUCCAGCAUCCAAAAAGAGAGAAAAGAUAAAGCAGAAUAUCAUCAAUGAAAUAAUUCAAGGAGAUUUAUCAAGAAUGAAAGACACAAUUUUCAAGACUGAAAAGGGUACAGCACAAUGGAUGGAAGCAAGCCCACUCUAAGGCAUAUUGCUGUGAAAUUUCAGACCACUGAGAAGAAGAAAAAGAUCCUAAAACUUCUAGAGGGAAAAAACAGGUAACAUAGAUAGGAUCGAGAAUCACAAUAGCUUCGGAUAUCUGUAUACCAAUAUGGAAAACUAACAGACACUUAAACAAUGACUUCAAAGUUCUAAAGGAAAAUGUUUUCUACAUUCUAUUUCUAUACCAACCAAAUACCAAUUAAAUGGAUGGGAGAAGUACAGAUGUCUUCAGACAUAGAUAAUCUAAAAUUUUUUCCUGCUACAGACGCUUUCUCAGAAUACUACUAAAGAAUGUAUCUCAUCAAAGCUAGGAAGUAAAUCAAGAAAGAGAAAUACAGGACACACAAGAAAUGAAAGCCCGGUGCAAAAGAAAGAUGAAAUCAUCCCCAAGAGGAUAUCAGAUGAGGAGGGGAACAGCCCUGCGGAUUAUCCACCAGUGUUCUGGUUUCCUGUCUCUCCCUACUGACCUGGCCUCACUCAAGUGUCAGCAGAGCCCAAGAAGUACCCAGCAAGACUUUGCUUUUAACUCAGACAUGCAGGUGUCUGGGGCUGGAGUGGAUGGCACUAAUCUACUUUCUUUUCCUAAGAAAAUCUGCUUGGAUGAAUCCAUGUCUGGAGUACAAAGGAGUCUCCUCCAAACAUCCCCUGUAAGAACCUACUUGCUGCCAAGCUCAGGCUGUGGGAAGGAACUUGGGUUCAGGGCCAACAGUGACACUGUGUUCUCUUCCUUUCAACCUACAGGCAAGUCCUUCUGGGGCAGAGAGCACUUCUGUCCAAUCUGUACCGAGCUAACAUACAAUCCCCUAACCCAACGAGUGCCUGUGGGCCUGUAUCUAAUGUAGCUUAAAUAAUUCUCUCCUCUCCCUCUCACCAUUCUUUGCCAUGUAAGUGACUGGCUUUCAAAUUUUGUUGACUAACCUACAGAUAAGAAACACAUGUUACUUUGCAACACAGUAUUCACACAUACAUGUGUGCACACACACAGAGCAAUCAAAAAUAUGAUGACACAAUUAUUCCCCUUGCUGUGUAUGGGGUACUUUAUCUUCCACUCUAUUAUAUUUUAUUUCAUUUUUUAAAAUGCUGGUCAUGACCUAUCAAAUCAAUUUUAUGACUCAUCAGUGGGCCACAGCUUGUAGUUUUAAAAAUACUGAUAAGGAGCUAUUAAUAUUUAGCUAUUUAAUAAGGAGCUACUAGUCUGGAAGAGGAGAAUAUGAAAACCAUACUUUGAAGUAUAUGGAAAGUUUAAGUACUACUAAAAGUAUAUGGACAGUUCUGGUAAGACAGAAAAGAUAUGUUUUAACCUAUUCCCCUAAGUACAACGAAAAACUCUAGAAAUUAUAUAUAAAAUAAACAUAAAAUUCCCAAUGAUGGAAGAAGGGAU
ensembl:lncRNA